rnacentral:lncRNA from 1 species
AGGUGACUGUAUUCAGGCGACACCCACCCUUCUGGUACUUAUUUUAUUUCCAAAUGAUCACGAUGUUCAGCUCCAUGAGUUUUGUCACACGUCAAGUCACGUGGCCACCACCUGGCUGGGUAGUGAUGGGUACAUAAGCCUCCCAUCACCCCCAAACAUUUCCCCCGUCUGUUCACUCGGGUUGCACAGCACCCCUCUUGUGCCCCUGGCAACCACAGAUCUGUUCUCCGUCAUUCACAUUCUGUCUCCUCGAGAAUGUCACAAAAAUGGAAUGGUACACUGUGGGACAUUCCGGGACUCGGUCCACUCACCAAUGCAGCGCUUCCGGCACGCCUCCAAGCUGCUGUGUGUACCACUGCUCAGCCCCCUGCCUGCUGCUGUUAACUGGUACCAGCAUGGCAGCGUAACUGCCCUAAUGUCAAAGAUGUGGGCAAGGGUGGAACAAUCCUAUUAUGUGCCUGAGAAAGCAGCCGUGAUUUAUUUUAAAGAAUCCUGGAGGAGGUUCCAACUGCUUCCGUGUGGCGACCUGUGAAGAAGCCUCCACUGGCCUGGAGUGAAAAAGGACAGAAUUAAGAAGUCCUCUCCUGUCCACGUGCACUUGCUGUCCGCUUACCUGCUGAGCAACCUUGCAUGCUAGCCACUGUGCGCACUGUCACACGUGCCUGCAGGAUUAAAUGGGGUGGUGCACAUGAGGCAUUGAGCUCAAAGUUCCCCCCCCCAAAAUUGUCUUGGUUCUAAUAAGCUUGCUGUGCAGAAGCAAGAGGAGAAUGAUGAAAUUGGCUGGGCGUGUAGCUCAGUGGUCAACGCUUGUAUGUGCCAGACCCCGAGUUCAAUCCCCAGCACAUCGAAUAAUAAUAAUCAUAAUAGAGUGAUAAUAAUACUUAUUAUUAUAUAAUACAUCGGUGUAAAAUAAAGAGGCAAAGAAAAUGCUAAGACA